UACGAAGGGGGCUAGCGUUGCUCGGAAUCACUGGGCGUAAAGGGCGCGUAGGCGGCCAUUCAAGUCAGAGGUGAAAGCCCAAGGCUCAACCUUGGAACUGCCUUUGAUACUGUUUGGCUUGAGACCGGUAGAGGUAAGUGGAACUGCGAGUGUAGAGGUGAAAUUCGUAGAUAUUCGCAAGAACACCAGUGGCGAAGGCGGCUUACUGGACCGGUUCUGACGCUGAGGCGCGAAAGCGUGGGGAGCAAGCAGG
rnacentral:rRNA from 1 species